rnacentral:misc_RNA from 1 species
UGACAUCACCUUGCAGCUCACAGAAG